rnacentral:rRNA from 1 species
CCAACAGGGAUUGCCCUAGUAACGGCGAGUGAAGCGGCAACAGCUCAAAUUUGAAAUCUGGCUCUCGGGCCCGAGUUGUAAUUUGUAGAGGAUACUUUUGAUGCGGUGCCUUCCGAGUUCCCUGGAACGGGACGCCAUAGAGGGUGAGAGCCCCGUCUGGUUGGAUGCCAAAUCUCUGUAAAGUUCCUUCGACGAGUCGAGUAGUUUGGGAAUGCUGCUCUAAAUGGGAGGUAUAUGUCUUCUAAAGCUAAAUACCGGCCAGAGACCGAUAGCGCACAAGUAGAGUGAUCGAAAGAUGAAAAGCACUUUGAAAAGAGAGUUAAAAAGUACGUGAAAUUGUUGAAAGGGAAGCGUUUAUGACCAGACUUGGGCUUGGUUAAUCAUCUGGGGUUCUCCCAGUGCACUUUUCCAGUCCAGG